rnacentral:snRNA from 1 species
GUGUUGACUUCAGCAGCACAUAUGCUAAAUUUGGAACAAUACAGAGAUUAGUGUGGCCCCUGAGCAAGGAUGACACACAAAAUUGUGAAGUGUUCCAUAUUUUU